rnacentral:tRNA from 1 species
GCCUCUGUGGCGGAACUGGUAGACGCGGCAGACUCAAAAUCUGUUUUUGGCAACAAAGUGCUGGUUCGAUUCCAGUCAGAGGCACCA